CCUACGGGCGGCAGCAGUGGGGAAUAUUGCACAAUGGGGGAAACCCUGAUGCAGCGAAGCCGCGUGAGUGAUGAAGUAUUUCGGUAUGUAAAGCUCUAUCAGCAGGGAAGAAAAUGACGGUACCUGAUUAAGCAUCUCCGGCUAACUACGUGCCAGCAGCCGCGGCAAUACGGAGGGGGCAAGCGUUAUCCGGAUUGACUGGGUUUAAAGGGGGCGUAGACGGCAGCACAAGUCUGGAGUGAAAUGCCGGGGCUUAACCCCGGAACUGCUUUGGAAACUGUGCAGCUAGAGUGCAGGAGAGGUAAGUGGAAUUCCUAGUGUAGCGGUGAAAUGCGUAGAUAUUAGGAGGAACACCAGUGGCGAAGGCAGCUUACUGGACUGUAACUGACGUUGAGGCUCGAAAGCGUGGGGAGCAAACAGGAUUAGAUACCCGGGUAGUC
rnacentral:rRNA from 1 species